AUCUGACAUACAUGCGGACUCAUAUAUAAGCCUGUGUAUACACGCACGCGUGUAUGUACUUGUGGGCGUAUGUGUGCGUGUGUAUAGGAUCAUGCGUUUGUUGAUGUGGCCUCUUCAAAGGCAAUCAUAUUCAGUUGUCUCCAUAGACUGGCAAGGAUACUACUAAGAAUCAAUAUGGCUCUGGCCCCAUACUACAUAUCCAUUAACGUUUCAGUACUGCAUUGGAAUAUAUUCUGUUAUUUCGACUCUAAAACCCAUUUGGAAAUGUUAGCAUUAACAAUAACAACAACAACAUGAAAUAAGAAACUGAAACCGAAAGCUAUCCGUGUAUCCUCUGUAGAAGAGUUUCCAGUUGGCUGUCAGUUGCAGUGUACAACUUUAAAUCACCCAUAUACAAAAGCAGCGGUAGGUUGUCCCGCCUGGAACUGCAAAAGCCUGGCAAUCUAGACUCAAUAAAAUCUUGGAAGACCUGUUUUACGGCAUCGUCGGAAUUAAAUUUCUUCCUAUCAAAAUGUUAUCCAAAUUCUGGAACUAAUGGUAGUCAGUGAGGACAAGAUCAGGUGCGUAUGUUGGACGAUGGAGAACUUCCAACUUCAGAUGCUGUAAUUUCACCAACGUCAUUUUUGCGAUGUGUGGUCUGGCGCUGUCUUGCAAUAAAAUAGGAGUGGAUCUGUUGACUAAUCGAGACUGCCGAAAUUAGUACAGCCCCUCCACAAAACAUAAAAAUGUAUCCAGGAAGAAUACUUUCAUACCCAAGGUUCAUAAUAUAAUAAUAGUAUGAGAUAGUAGAAACAUCUACUUAUAUGAAUAUAUGUACAUGGCCUGAAAUUUGAGAGAGGGGGCCAGCCGUUAGAUCGACCCUAGUACGAAACUGGUAAUUCAUUUAUCGACUCCGAAAGGCAAAGUCGACCUCGGCGGAAUUUGAACUCAGAAUAUAAUGACAAACGAAAUACUGCUAAGCAUUUCGCCCGGCGCGUUAGCGCUUCUGCCAUCUCGCCGCCUUAUGACCUGCAUAUAUUACGAAAGAAAGUGUAUGACGUUGACAUUCUGAAGAUAUAAAAUGAUUUUUGUUGCUAAACUGUUUUAGUCACCUGGAGCAUUAAUGGUAUUAAAAGAGGAGAAAAAUAUUGCCAAUACAUUAUUUUAGAUAACGAAGUUUUGGAAAUGUUUUGAGCGUAGAAGUAUGUUCUAAAAAAAAAAUUGCAGUGUAUUUGAUAUUGAGAAAUAGAUAAUGCAAUAUUUCUAUUGUUCAAAAGAAUACAACAAAAGCCUUUUAUAUUUCUGUGUAAGGAAAAACAAUAAAAGAAAUCAUUUCAACAGA